rnacentral:rRNA from 1 species
GGGUCCGUAGGUUGGUCGUGCCACCGGUACGUACUGGUCUCACUGAUUCCUCCUUCCUGAAGAACCGUAAUGCCAUUAAUUUGGUGUUGCGGGGAAACAGGACUGUUACUUUGAAAAAAUUAGAGUGUUGAAAGCAAGCUAACGCUUGAAUACAUUAGCAUGGAAUAAUGAAAUAGGACGAUCGAUCCUAUUUUGUUGGUUUCUAGGAUUGACGUA